rnacentral:rRNA from 1 species
CAAUACGGAAGGUACACGAGUGGCGCACGGGUGCGUAACGCGUAUGUAAUCUGCCCUUGACCGGAACAAAACAGCUGGAAACGGCUGCUAAUAUUCCAUGGUCAUUUUCGGAGGCAUCUCUGGGGAUGUAAAGAUUUAUUGGUCAAGGAUGAGCAUGCGUAUUAUUAGAUAGUUGGUGGGGUAACGGCCCACCAAGUCGACGAUGAUUAGGGGUUCUGAAAGGAUUAACCCCCACACUGGAACUGAGACACGGUCCAGACUCCUACGGGAGGCAGCAGUAGGGAAUAUUGGGCAAUGGAAGGAAUUCUGACCCAGCCAUGCCGCGUGAAGGAAGACGGUCCUAUGGAUUGUAAACUUCUUUUAUCGCAUAGUAAAUUGGGGCACGUGUGCCCCAUUAAAAAAAAGCGUUGUUUAAGUAUCGGCUGGGUCCGAAAAGCAGCCGCGGUAGUACGGAGGAUACGGGCGUUAUCCGGAUUUAUUGGGUUUAAAGGGUGCGCAGGCGGAUCGGUAAGUCAGGGGUGAAAAGUUCGUGCUUAACAUGAAUCGUGCCUUUGAUACUGCCGGACUAGAGUGCAAUAGACGUGGGCGGAAUGUGAUGUGUAGCGGUGAAAUGCUUAGAUAUGUCACAGAACACCGAUCGAGAAGUCAGCUCACGAGUUUGCAACUGACGCUCAUGCACGAAAGCGUGGGGAUCAAACAGGAUUAGAUACCCUGGUAGUCCACGCUGUAAACGAUGAUCACUCGUUGUUGGCCGGCGACGGUCAGUGGCCAAGCGAAAGCGAUAAGUGAUCCACCUGGGGAGUACGAUCGCAAGGUUGAAACUCAAAGGAAUUGACGGGGGCCCGCACAAGCGGAGGAGCAUGUGGUUUAAUUCGAUGUUACGCGAGGAACCUUACCCGGGCUUGAACGUAAGACGACGACGCAGGAGACUGCGUUUCCUACGGGCGUUUUGCGAGGUGCUGCAUGGUUGUCGUCAGCUCGUGCCGUGAGGUGUUAGGUUAAGUCCUGCAACGAGCGCAACCCUUACUUUUAGUUGCCAGCAUGUAAAGAUGGGGA